rnacentral:rRNA from 1 species
UGGGGAAUUUUCCGCAAUGGGCGAAAGCCUGACGGAGCAAUACCGCGUGAGGGACGAAGGCCUGUGGGUUGUAAACCUCUUUUGUUAGGGAAGAUAAUGACGGUACCUAACGAAUAAGCAUCGGCUAACUCCGUGCCAGCAGCCGCGGUAAGACGGAGGAUGCAAGCGUUAUCCGGAAUUAUUGGGCGUAAAGCGUACGUAGGCUGUUUCAUAAGUCUGUUGUCAAAGCCCGAGGCUCAACCUUGGAUCGGCAAUGGAAACUGUGAGACUAGAGAGAGAUAGGGGCAGGAGGAAUUCCAGGUGUAGCGGUGAAAUGCGUAGAUAUCUGGAAGAACACCCAGUGGCGAAAGCGUCCUGCUGGAUCUC